rnacentral:tRNA from 1 species
GUUCCCGUAGUGUAGUGGGUUAUCAACGUUCGCCUCACACGCGAAAGGUCCCCGGUUCGAAACCGGGCGGGAACA